AUGAACGCUGUCAACAUGGAGACCACGGGCACCACUGGCUCAAUCCUCGGCCAUGGAGCAGGCGACGGCCCGAGGGUGCUCCUUCUCCCGUUCCCGGGGGCGCAGGGCCACACAAACCCGAUGCUCCAGUUCAGCCGCCGCCUCGCGUACCACGGCCUCCGCCCCACCCUCGUCGUCACCCGGUACGUGCUCUCCACCACCACGCAGCCUGGCGCGCCGUUCCGCGUGGCCGCCAUCUCGGACGGCUUCGACGCUGGUGGCAUGGCGUCGUGCCCCGACUACGCGGAGUACUUCCCGCGACUGGAGGCCGUCGGGUCCGAGACGCUGCGGGAGCUCCUCCUGUCCGAGGCGCGCGCUGGGCGGCCAGUGCGCGUGCUGGUUUACGACCCUCAUCUUGCGUGGGCGCUGCGGGUGGCGCGGGCGGCCGGCAUGGCCACCGCGGCCUUCUUCUCCCAGCCGUGUGCAGUGGACAUCGUCUAUGGGGAGCUCUGGGCGGGGCGGCUGGCGCUGCCGGUGACGGACGGGUGCGCACUACUCGCGAGAGGAGCGCUGGGCGUGGAGCUUGGGCCGGAGGACAUGCCGCCGUUCGCGGCUGUUCCGGAGUCGUAG
rnacentral:rRNA from 1 species